AAACUGACCUGUUUGGAUCGCUUCGGUUAUCGGCUAUUUACUUGAUCGGUCAUCGGUGGAUAUUGUUAUAGAGAACUGUACUGGGUAGCGGUCCAGUAAUUACACAAAACCAAUUGGAUAUUCAUUUAAACCGAAACCUAUAUUUUCAAAAGACAAGUUUGGCAUUUUCAAAUUACUAGACCACUUUAACUUAUUUGUAACUACUUUUACAUAAUAAAUACAUAUAUAACUUUUGUUAAAAAAUAAAAUAAAAUAUAUUUGGGUUAAUACUGGUAUUUUAUAAUCGAACCGAUUGACCCAGAACUGGUCGACGGUCCUAGAUAGAUACAAAAUCACUAUACCCGAUUUACCUGAAACCGAACUAUUCUUACCCAUAACCGGAAUAUCUGAGAGCCAUGCCAUAAUCAAUAGGUUCUAGAUCCCGGUUUAUACGAUGAUGUGCUGUUCUAUUUUAAUCAUCUGAAUAACAUUAUAUAUGCUAGGUAUCUAACAUUGUUCUGGCUCAAGCAUCUUAAUUAGAGCAAAAACACUUGAAAAACUUCUAUUCUUUUUUACUGAAACCUAUCUUGUAACGAUGAUGAAUUAAUGGUCUUGGUAUAGAAUGAUUUAGAAGAUAUAUCCAACUUUGCUAAAAAAGAAAGUUUUUCUAUAAUUUUCUUAUUUUAGUUAAGAGAAUUCAAAGGAUAUGAAUCUCCCAUGAAAUCUGUGGUUCUUUUGUUGUGUUAGGUAAAAAGAAAAACCAUUUGACUUUCUUUCCCCUAGUGUCAAUGGAUGUAAUCUUCCUUUAGGUUUUUUUUUUCUUUCUCAUCAACUAUUAUUUUUUUACCCAUGCUCCGGCUUUUACAACAACAUGGGUUGUGUUGUUUCAAGGCCUGAGACAAAUGAAGGAGGAGAUUAUAAACUGAUAACUCGCCGAGGAUCUAUCGGUAAAGAUAGUGAAAUUUCUGAGAGCAUCACACUAGAUCACGAAUUGUCUACACAUAGCAAAAGGUCCAAAACUGGUGGUGAAAAGGCAUGUAAGGAGGAGGAAGACGUACGUGAAAAUGCACAAGAAGAGAAAGGAGACGAGCACAAACUUUCACCAUCUCCUAGUUUUCGUAUUUAUUGUGUUUUCCCUCGUGAUCCUAAUGAUGACAACGUCGUUGAUGAUCUGCCACGGAACAAGAACAUAUCAGAAGUAAACAAGGUGGAAUCUACGAAA